rnacentral:rRNA from 1 species
AAUGAACGCUGGCGGCGCGCCUAAUACAUGCAAGUCGAGCGAGAAGACGUAGCAAUACGUUUGUAAAGCGGCGAACGGGUGAGGAAUACAUGGGUAACCUACCCUCGAGUGGGGAAUAACUAGCCGAAGGUUAGCUAAUACCGCGUACGCUCCUUGGACUUCGGUUCAGGGAGGAAAGCGAUACCGUGGGUAUCGCGCUCUUGGUUGGGCUCAUGUCCUAUCAGCUUGUUGGUGAGGUAACGGCUCACCAAGGCUUCGACGGGUAGCUGGUCUGAGAGGACGAUCAGCCACACUGGCACUGCGACACGGGCCAGACUCCUACGGGAGGCAGCAGUAAGGAAUAUUGCGCAAUGGGCGAAAGCCUGACGCAGCGACGCCGCGUGGGGGAUGAAGGUCUUUGGAUUGUAAACCCCUUUCGGGAGGGAAGAUGGGACGAGCAAUCGUUCGGACGGUACCUCCAGAAGCAGCCACGGCUAACUUCGUGCC